UUGGAGGGCAAGUCUGGUGCCAGCAGCCGCGGUAAUUCCAGCUCCAAUAGCGUAUAUUAAAGUUGUUGCAGUUAAAAAGCUCGUAGUUGAAUUUCGGGAUCAAUAUAUCGGUCGUGCCAUUGGUACGUACUGGUAUCAUUGGUUUCUCCUUUCUGACGAACCAUGGUGUCAUUAAUUUGGUGCUAUGGGAAGUUAGGACUGUUACUUUGAAAAAAUUAGAGUGUUUAAAGCAGGCUUUAGCUUGAAUACAUUAGCAUGGAAUAAUGAAAUAGGACGUUCGAACCUAUUUUGUUGGUUUCUAGGAUCAACGUAAUGAUUAAUAGGGAUAGUUGGGGGCAUUAGUAUUCAAUUGUCAGAGGUGAAAUUCUUGGAUUUAUUGAAGACUAACUACUGCGAAAGCAUUUGCCAAGGAUGUUUUCAUUAAUCAAGAACGAAAGUUAGGGGAUCGAAGACGAUCAGAUACCGUCGUAGUCUUAACCAUAAACUAUGCCGACUAGGGAUUGGAUGAUGUUAAUUUUUUGAUGACUCAUUCGGCGCCUUACGGGAAAC
rnacentral:rRNA from 1 species